UACGAAGGGGGCUAGCGUUGCUCGGAAUCACUGGGCGUAAAGCGCACGUAGGCGGGUCGUUAAGUCAGGGGUGAAAUCCUGGAGCUCAACUCCAGAACUGCCUUUGAUACUGGCGAUCUUGAGUUCGGGAGAGGUGAGUGGAACUGCGAGUGUAGAGGUGAAAUUCGUAGAUAUUCGCAAGAACACCAGUGGCGAAGGCGGCUCACUGGCCCGGUACUGACGCUGAGGUGCGAAAGCGUGGGGAGCAAACAGG
rnacentral:rRNA from 1 species